UAGGUUUCCUACUCAAACGCUUGAGAGAAAAGAGAGACUCUUAUGGGCUCUCUCCACUGAGCACCACUGUGGGGGACACUUGUCUCCCAAUCCCCAAAACAGUCCUCUGACAGUGGUAAGAAAUGGGCUCCCAAAUUUAAAUGACUUGUAUAUAAUUUUGAUAUGUUUGCAUUUAUUUAUUUUGUUCACACCGGUGUCUACACUUGCACACGCACACGCCCUGGUGCAUGUACGGGAAUCAGAGGACAGGAUGUGGGAGUCGGUUCUCUUCUUCCAGCUUGUAGCUCCGGGCCACCUAACUCGGGUCAUCAGGCUUCGAGAAACAAACAAAGUGAAGUCAAAAAGAAACUUCUGAGACUUUCACUUGGGAAGUUAACAUUCCAGAUUGCUGUCCUUCCCAAGGAUGCUGAACUGUCUCCCUGCUGCAGUAGCCACAAGACCACAUGAUGGUGAUACAAGGAGGAUAACGCUACAAGAAGGUGAAAUCUUAUCAACGUCAAUCUCUGAAAAAUGUCAACUGAAAGACAUUACUGACCCAUCUGAUUUUAAAUAUGUGUCACAAACAAGAUAUAAAGUUUUGU